rnacentral:rRNA from 1 species
GUCUAUGGCCAUACCACUCUGAACGUGCCCGAUCUCAUCUGAUCUCAGAAGCUAAGCAGGGUCUGGCCUGGUUAGUACUUGGAUGGAAGAGCAGCAUGUAUUUAUUGGGG